UCUCAUAACGGUUAAAUAUGUGUUGUUAUAAAUAUUUCGGACAUGUAACUAAUCUAAAUCUAUCAACACAUAAUAGAUAAACAUUAUAAAAAGGAAAACUUAAAAAUAUAGUGUUGUGCUUUUAACAUCAGUACUAAACUCUAAUAACUAUAAAUUUCUUCAGACCUUUUUUCUGUCUCUUGGAUUUUUGUCUCUCGCCUGCUCCCUGAAGGGAACCGCGCCACAUCGGACCUCCUGGAUCUCRAUCCCUGAACGCAUCUCUGKACCAACAACUCMGUCAUCUCCUUCAAACCUGGUAACUUCCUCUGACCACCUGUGUAUGACCCUUGCCCCGUUUCUGACCUCGAGUAAGUCCAGCGACAUUAUCACUCCUCGACAACACAGCCCGGAACCAAAACACAUCAGCUGUUGUUUCAACCCGGACUUCAACUCAGCAGCAAAUAACUGACGACCCCGGAGUCCGGUCCCAACCUUCCAGCCAAAAUUACUAACAAUAAACUUGUUAAAACUUUGA